rnacentral:rRNA from 1 species
UACGUAGGGGGCUAGCGUUGUCCGGAAUCAUUGGGCGUAAAGCGCGUGUAGGCGGUUCGGUAAGUCCGCUGUGAAAGUCGGGGGCUCAACCCUCGGAAGCCGGUGGAUACUGUCGAGCUAGAGUACGGAAGAGGCGAGUGGAAUUCCUGGUGUAGCGGUGAAAUGCGCAGAUAUCAGGAGGAACACCAAUUGCGAAGGCAGCUCGCUGGGACGUUACUGACGCUGAGGCGCGAAAGCGUGGGGAGCAAACAGG